UUUUUAAUUUUCAUGAAGGCCAGUUAAUCUGUUUUUUCUUUUGUUGCCUGUGCUUUUGGUGUCAUAUCCGAAAAACCAUUACCAAAUCCAAUGCCAUGAAGGAUAUUCUCCUCUUUU